GAUGAAGAACGCAGCGAAAUGCGAUAAGUAAUGUGAAUUGCAGAAUUCAGUGAAUCAUCGAAUCUUUGAACGCACAUUGCGCCCGCCAGUAUUCUGGCGGGCAUGCCUGUUCGAGCGUCAUUUCAACCAUCAAGCCCCCGGCUUGUGUUGGGGACCUGCGGCUGCCGCAGGCCCUGAAAAGCAGUGGCGGGCUCGCUGUCACACCGAGCGUAGUAGCAUACAUCUCGCUCUGGGCGUGCUGCGGGUUCCGGCCGUUAAACCACCUUCAUAACCCAAGGUUGACCUCGGAUCAGGUAGGAAGACCCGCUGAACUUAAGCAUAUCAAUAAGCGGGGGA
rnacentral:misc_RNA from 1 species